rnacentral:rRNA from 1 species
UACGGGGGGGGCAAGCGUUGUUCGGAAUUACUGGGCGUAAAGGGCUCGUAGGUGGCCAACUAAGUCAGACGUGAAAUCCCUCAGCUUAACUGGGGAACUGCGUCUGAUACUGGAUGGCUUGAGUUUGGGAGAGGAACGCGGAAUUCCAGGUGUAGCGGUGAAAUGCGUAGAUAUCUGGAGGAACACCGGUGGCGAAGGCGGCGUUCUGGACUGCAACUGACACUGAAAAACGAAAGCCAGGGGAGCAAACGGG